rnacentral:misc_RNA from 1 species
UCUCCGUUGGUGAACCAGCGGAGGGAUCAUUACCGAGUUUACAACUCCCAAACCCAAUGUGAACCAUACCAAACAGUUGCCUCGGCGGGGUCACGCCCCGGGUGCGUCGCAGCCCCGGAACCAGGCGCCCGCCGGAGGGACCAACCAAACUCUUUCUGUAGUCCCCUCGCGGACGUUAUUUUUACAGCUCUGAGCAAAAAUUCAAAAUGAAUCAAAACUUUCAACAACGGAUCUCUUGGUUCUG